AGAGUUUGAUCCUGGCUCAGGAUGAACGCUGGCGGCGUGCCUAAUACAUGCAAGUCGAGCGAACGGACGAGAAGCUUGCUUCUCUGAUGUUAGCGGCGGACGGGUGAGUAACACGUGGAUAACCUACCUAUAAGACUGGGAUAACUUCGGGAAACCGGAGCUAAUACCGGAUAAUAUUUUGAACCGCAUGGUUCAAAAGUGAAAGACGGUCUUGCUGUCACUUAUAGAUGGAUCCGCGCUGCAUUAGCUAGUUGGUAAGGUAACGGCUUACCAAGGUAACGAUGCAUAGCCGACCUGAGAGGGUGAUCGGCCACACUGGAACUGAGACACGGUCCAGACUCCUACGGGAGGCAGCAGUAGGGAAUCUUCCGCAAUGGGCGAAAGCCUGACGGAGCAACGCCGCGUGAGUGAUGAAGGUCUUCGGAUCGUAAAACUCUGUUAUUAGGGAAGAACAUAUGUGUAAGUAACUGUGCACAUCUUGACGGUACCUAAUCAGAAAGCCACGGCUAACUACGUGCCAGCAGCCGCGGUAAUACGUAGGUGGCAAGCGUUAUCCGGAAUUAUUGGGCGUAAAGCGCGCGUAGGCGGUUUUUUAAGUCUGAUGUGAAAGCCCACGGCUCAACCGUGGAGGGUCAUUGGAAACUGGAAAACUUGAGUGCAGAAGAGGAAAGUGGAAUUCCAUGUGUAGCGGUGAAAUGCGCAGAGAUGUGGAGGAACACCAGUGGCGAAGGCGACUUUCUGGUCUGUAACUGACGCUGAUGUGCGAAAGCGUGGGGAUCAAACAGGAUUAGAUACCCUGGUAGUCCACGCCGUAAACGAUGAGUGCUAAGUGUUAGGGGGUUUCCGCCCCUUAGUGCUGCAGCUAACGCAUUAAGCACUCCGCCUGGGGAGUACGACCGCAAGGUUGAAACUCAAAGGAAUUGACGGGGACCCGCACAAGCGGUGGAGCAUGUGGUUUAAUUCGAAGCAACGCGAAGAACCUUACCAAAUCUUGACAUCCUUUGACAACUCUAGAGAUAGAGCCUUCCCCUUCGGGGGACAAAGUGACAGGUGGUGCAUGGUUGUCGUCAGCUCGUGUCGUGAGAUGUUGGGUUAAGUCCCGCAACGAGCGCAACCCUUAAGCUUAGU
rnacentral:rRNA from 1 species